rnacentral:lncRNA from 1 species
CUUUCCAAACCCUUGAUGCACCAAGGAGGACACUUUGAUGCUACUGCUGCUCCUGUACGCGGUAGGUGCACUCGAUGUUCAACCUCGCCGCCGCUCGGGCACUGCUCCUGUGCUACUGACGGAAAGGACACCAAGUUGCUUCAUCGCGUGGAUUCUCGCCGAUCAGAUCCAAUUGUAAAGCUAGCACAGUUUUUUUUUCCAACCUGAAGGUGGCAUCCAGAGAAAAUUAUUUUCAGAACAACUGAUCAUUUCUCUCGUUUUUAGUUUACUAGCUUAAUCGUGUUAAGCCUUCAACAUGAUGUAUUCGAAUACAACACUUUCUAUCAAAGAUUUCAGACAGGUUCAGGUGUGUAGUCAUUUCACUUGCAGAGAUGUGAAUUUCAGGGAAGUUUCACUUCUGAAUCUGAGCAAAAGAAAUACUCCCUCUGUAAACUAAUAUAAGAGUGUUUAGAUCACUAAAAUUAUGAUUUAAACGUUCUUAUAUUAGUUUACGGAGGAAGUAGUUUCUUUCCUGGGGCAUCACAAACAAUCUGUGUGAUGAAAUGAAGCAUAACAAAAUCGAUUUUUUGCUGCUGCCUUAAACAAGUUAAAUUUUCAAGACGUGUGUCGAUGCUGAUGCUUGCUCGGCCGUUCUCAUCCAACCUGCCUCUCCUGCUUGCACGCACACAAGGUCUUGGAGCAAAUCGGCACGGGCAAAAACAGAGGAGAAGCAGAGCAGCAGCACAUACUGUAGCCGUGCCAGUGCACGCGCACAGCCCACACUGCUACAGUACUUGGGUACACACUCAGUGGGGAGAAGGAAAAGGCUGAACAAUUUUGUUCAAAUAGGCAUUAAACAUUUUUGUAAUAAAGCUGAACAAUUUUAACUACAUAGUGAACAUUUUUGCGAUAUACGCUGAACAAUAUUUAAAGCACAUUAAACAUUUAUGUGGUACAUGAUGAACAUUUUUGUAAUAAACGCUGAACAAUUUCUGGUUAAAUGUUGAAAAAUUUUUAAAUACACACUGAAUAUUUUUGUGAUAUACGCUGACUUUUUUUUGAAUUGUGCACAAAUUUUUUUAAAGUGAGAAAAACUUGAAAACCAUGAACAAUUUUUGAACAUGAAAAAAAUUGGAAAUUCAAACUUUUUUAAAUAGAAAGGAUAAAAGUAAAAACGAAAAAAUUAUAAAAGAAAAAAAGAAAAAAAGAAAAAAAAGAAAAAUAUGUAAAAAGAAAAAGCAAAAGAUAAAAAACAGAAAAGGUGGGAUAAUGGCAAAAUAGAAAAAUAUAAAAAACACUGGUUGAUGGGACCCAAAAGUGGCUUGCCUGGCAGUGCUUUAACGCUCGAAGUUUGCCGGCCCGUUUCAAGGUGCUAGCUUGCGCGCUUCAGUAAAAGCGUAGCAGUUUUUCCUGAAGCGUAGCAGUUUCGGUACAACAUCAACUGUUUUCUCUAUCUCUUCUCUAUCUCUAUCUCUACUACCUAAAAGAACCGUAAGGUUCCAUCUCCCCUCUUACGUCGCUCGCAAUCUUCGUCCGACCUUCGCUCGCCCGCACGUUAAGUCGUCCUUCGUCCGUGUGGCCAGCAUACGCAAGCCCAGCAAGGCCCAAGCCAAAGUCAUGCACGGGGCCGUUGAUUCACACGUCUGGCUCGUCCCUCUUUCGCGGAUCAAACGACGUCUCGCUCGUCCCCGAUUCCUCUCGCCCUCUUUCGGGGACCUCACCCGCAGUCGGUCCUAACCCUAGCGCCGCCGGCCGCCCCCAUCGGCACCGAUCGUUCCGGGAAGGUUUCCUCUACGUCAUCAGUGCUCCUUUAUCUCCUCCUCCCCCCGCUCCUCGGGUGUAGAAACCAAACCCAUCUUUAAUCGAACCAAAACCCUAACCCUAGCAAUAUGGAGGCCCCUCUGCCACUGCCCACACCGGCCUGCAUCCACUUCUACACGCCAUGCCCACAGCCGCGUGAUGAACGCCACAUCGCCGCUGACUACGUGGCCUGCCACGCGACUCCCCGACUCUGUGCCGCGUGCGAAUCCGCUCGCUUGUUGAGCCAUUGCGGAGGUCGUCGGCAUGUCGAUGACCAGGGACGACGGGGUCAAUGGAGCAGGGCAGCGGGACUCCGUGGUGGAAGUGGAGGGGGCAGAGGGACGCUCGCCCUUGGGAGUAGCCGAGGCGGCGGCAAAGAUGCUCGGAAGUCGAAAGUGGAGGAAGCUCAAGUGACCGGGAGGAACGUGAGAUGCAGAGUGUGGAGGUGGUGGUGUGGUGAGGAAGAUAGAGAAGGAGUGCAUUUGGUUGGUCCAAGAAGCUGCAGGUGACCUGCGAGGCUGGAACUGCCGUCCACCGUGAGGGACGUCUCUGGUCACACCAACGAUCUCCAUGUCUGUGGGUGAGGAAUAGUUGGUACUACUAUCCAGCAUCGCAUGCAUGCAUAACUAGACCGAUGAUAAUUUGUCUACCUACUGCAGUUUAUAUAUUCUUUCAUGGCUUUAUUUCAUGAUUCCAGACUUCAAAUUUGAGGAUUGUUUGGAAGUUGUACCAACGGCAUCAUAACUGUUGUACUGGCUAUAUUAUUCUUCAUUUCAUUUAUCAUCAGCUUUGGCUACUCGUGCAUGCUUUCUGAUAAUAUCCAUUUGGCAGCUUCAAGUGCACUGCAAGUGUUGAACUGUGCUCCAGUGAACAACAGCCCAUUGGGGCAGUGUACUCAAACAGUGAUCCAAGCAGUCACAGUAGUGGAUCUGCAAAUAUUUUCAUCAAGCUAUUAUCUCAUCUUUUAAUUUGCUUCUCCAGUCUAAAUAAUCGGUUUUCUCCAUAUUUAUUUUUUAUGUGAGCAUUUUAAAAAAUUCUUUAUUCAGAAUCUUGAUAAGAAAAUUGACAACAAAUAAUUAAAAAAAUGAACUGGGUGGGAGGCGAAGGAAUAAGAGACAAGAGAGGAAAUACAUAGUCAUAUUAUAUUGUUUUGUAAGUUGUAAUAAUGCACAUGCUUCUUAGACCACCGGAAGCAACACCGCCAGCGGGCUGCUGACGUUCCGCACUCAGCAAGUGUGUUUGCGCCGGCAAGUUCCCUAGAAGCGUAGGGCGGGAACAUACAAGGCACAAAAUCAAGUAAAGGGCAUAAUCCGGCAAGCAUUCCCCUCUUUUCAUUAAAAAACAUCCCAAUUUAGUACAAGUCCAUAGAGGAUGAAAAACAUGAUAGAGAGGAUUACAAAUUUUAAAUGCAGCUAAGGCCCGAAGGCUUACAAAUAAAAAGAUAAGAUGCCCGUAACCCCUCUCCUGUUUCUCUCUUCAGGAGGUAGGUCAAGGAGGUCCCGGCAAGAGAAGCUUGCCGGGGAGGGCGAAAGGGGCGCCUAGGUGAGCUACGGGCGCCAGAAGACACCAAGAGAACAUCUCGGGGGCCGGCCAGGAGCUUGGCGGAGACGGAGGCGCCGGAGGCAGAGCUCGAAGACGGGGCGGCAGGACGUCAGCACGCUGUCGAGGGCACCUCGCCCUCGUACUCCGACUUGACGGCCUUGCCGCCACCCCUCUUCCUCUUCCGCAGCCUCCCUACGCCAGCCGCCCAAGGAGACGGCCCCGGGGAGUCAGAAGGCCGGCGACCCGGAUGAUGGGGUCGCCGGUGGCGCGCGCGAGGCGGCGUCCGGUGCCUAGUCGGACCCGCCGUCCUCGUCGUCGCUAUCGCUCCCCUCCUCGUCACUCCCGCUCGAGGAGGGGCCUUCGCUAUCGGAAGAGCUGUCCACGCAGCACCUUGCCCGGAUGCCGGAGUCCCCGAAGACCUUGACGGAGAGGAGGUCACCCUCCAUUAACUUAAAAUGGAGGGUAAACCCCGCCGUCAAGCUGUGGAUACGGGCGAACGUCUUCCAUCCACGGUCAAGAUACAUCACGGCAGGGGCUGGGGAUACAACGUGGACUCGCGUGCCGCUGAUCCCGCAGCCCCUCAUCUGCAGUCUCAGCAUCUCGGGCGGGUCCGGUUCCAUCGCGCUUGCGAACGGAGUUGGAAGCCGGAGGCGACGACGAGGCGCCCGACGCAGCCUGACGAAGAACUCGCAAGGGUCGUCCCCCAUGUGGACCGUCGUGGGGGGAGGAACAGCCGGCGGAGGCGAAGCUGGCGCGCCGCCCCGUCCGCCUCUUCCCCGAGCGCCUCGGCCUCGUCCUCGACCUCGUCCGCGACCACGCCCCCUCCCUCUUCCCCUUAUGGCCGGUUCCCCCGCCAAGGGUGCGAGAGAGGGAGAGGUGCGCUGUCUGGCGGCGACCCUCGCCGCCACCGAUGAAGAGCCAGGAUUCCCUUUCUCCAUGGCGAAUGGGAGAAAGGAGAGCAGAAGCUGAAGAAAGGAGGAGAUGAGAGAGUGCGGGCUUCUGUGCCCCCCCCUCCUGCCCUUUAUAAAGGAACAGGGUGGGAGCCCGGCCGCCCCGCUCGGCGAACCAAGGCACGGGAGGAGCAGGGAAUCGGGGCCGACCCGCUGCCUCUGCUCGCCACGGCCUGGAUUCCCACUCCCACCAUCCGUGAACCCAAGUGCAUGGGAGCCACGUGGCGGGGAUGCAGGGCCGGGGUGACGGGUGAGGCGGCCUCGCCCCACCCCGUGAUCGUGGGGGUUGGAUGCCUCGAAAACCACGCACCGGUCCCAUCCAGUAAAUGCACCACGCCCCCACGCCUACCUUCGUUUAGGUAGGAGGGCAUGAGCCGUCCCCUUCAUCAUGGCUUGAUGCAUGCUCGCGAGGCUCAGCCCCGCAUGCCCGCACACGUCACCCACGACGCCGCGUUUGACGCGUGCCGUUCUGGGCGUGCGUGGUGGGAGCGGAGAGAUAUACGGUGUGACCUAGGCCGCGCGUGCCCGUGCACUGUUUUGGGCCUGGCCCAACAGCGCUCGUCACCGUGUAUGGCCCAGGCCCGGGGGCUCCUGUCGGUGUACUAAAGUAGGGGGUACCUUAGUAUCCCGAACUUGUGCACGGGCAGUCGCAGCGACCCGCGGCAGGGCUUGCCGGGCGUCCGGCAAGAUCCUCCACGGCUACUUUGGUGCCAUUCAAGAACAGAGCACUCAAGCUAAAGCCCCGGCAAGAGGAGCUUGCCGGGAAGGCCAACCAAAGCCCGGCAAGAGGAGCUUGCCGGGAAGGCCAACCAAGGCCCCGGCAAGAGGAGCUUGCCGGGAAGAAAACAAAGGCCCCGGCAAGAGGAGCUUGCCGGGAAGGCCACUCAAGGCAUCUCCAGAAGACUUGCCGCGGCGCCCCGCGCGUCCCGGCAAGACCCGACGGCCGGCAAGCUUGCCGGCACGACAAGAGAAGGGCCGCGGCAAGGCGGCCACCCAAAAUCCAGCGCAUCCAGCGACGUGUCACCCCAGGGCCACCCCAGGGGCACGUGGCAGGGCGUUGCGUAACCAUGCGGAGCAAGGUGGCAAGCGGAGCUGACAGAGACGCCAUUGUGGCAACCGGUGGCUCACCUAACGGUCGUUUGUUUGCACUGUAGGGCGACCGGACGGGCAUUAAAUUCCCUUGCCCCCUGCCGUCAGAGUUAGGUAGGGGGACACUGUUGGUCACUGUUGUACCAACCUGCGUUUUUACCUUUCUACCCCCUCUUCCUACGUUGCCACCUGUUGGAGCCCCCUUCAGACUAUAAAAGGGAGGCCCAUGCGCACGUAGAAGGGGUUCGGUCCAUUCGACACACGCAAUACCACCAUACGCUCACUCUCGAGCAAGAUCAAAUACAAACACGAAGCAGCAGUAGGAGUUUUAUCUCUCCGGAGAGCUCCGAAGCUGGGUAAAAAUCGCCCGUCUCCCCGCGCGCGCCCGACCUCGAUCUGCUCUGCGCGCGGCCUCCGCCCCCCUUGCCGGACUAGAAGGGGCCCCCCGUGCCCCAUAGGUGCUCGCGGCCACGGAAAGAGACGUGCCCCGACAAUGAGCUCCGGAGACACGUCGCCCUCGUCGAGCGGUGAUGAGUGGGGGGCGGCCACCGUGGCAUCGACCCCUGUGACACCGACCUCGGUAGCGUCAGCGUCCAUAGCGCGGGCUUGGUGAAGAUGAGCUCCGGCGAUGCGUCGUCCUCAUCGCGUGGUGAUGAGUGGGGCCGGCCACCGUGGCGUUGACCUCUGUGACACCGACCUCGGUAGCGUCAGUGUCCAUAGCGCGGGCUUGGUGAAGAUGAGCUCCGGCGACGCAUCGUCCUCAUCGCGAGGUGAUGAGUAGGGUGGCCACCGUGGCGUCGACCUCCGGGGCAUCGACCUGGCGACCUCGACGGUGGGCGGCGUCGUGGCGUGCUCCGCGUCGUCGUCUUGGCUGAACUGUCGUGACGAGGCGAACAACAGGUGGUGAUGACGACCUCUUCGUCGUUCUUUGUGGCGCUGGCUUGGUGAAGACCAUCUCCGGCAACGUCGACUUCACCUUCCGGUGCGGCGGCUCCGUCUCCGACGGGGUCCGAUCAUGUGAACAUUGCUUUUGGCAACGCUCCCGACCUGUGUGCGUGCAUGCUAUAUGCAAAGAAGGAACAAGGAAAGGGAUGGGCUAGAUCAAAGUUUUACUUUCGGGGAAGGUGAGCUUCGCGUCCAUGUCACAGCCACCGAGCUCCCUGUACGCCGGCCUCCUCUCUCCGUGUACGCCGGCUCGGGUACCUGCGUCUUUCCUUUCCUCCUGCCGGGUAGAUGCGAGCCUGCCGGGUAGAUGCGAGCCGGUGCGUGAGGGAGUUCCUCUGCAGGCUUGCGUGAUGAUGAAUGAAUGGAGUGCUGCGUGGUGGAUGGAUGGGUGCUGGAGGUGUUAUGCGAUGGAUGUGUGCGUGCGUGAGUUCCUCUCCUCUGGCUUUGCGUCCGUGUCUCCUGUGAAUGGCCUUGUGCCUCUGUAUUUAUAGGGAAGGGAGAUAGGCAGAGCGCGAGCGUUUGUUCCGAUAUUCGUGGGAAGAUAGAGAUCAAAUCCCGUCUACGUGCUCCGUUGGUGCUUAUCUUCUCCCUUUCUUAGCGCGUACGCCUGCACAAGGAAAACAAAAUCAAACUCGUACGUACCUGAGCUACACAACUGACCGGUGGGCCUGGUUCAUUCGAUCGACAUCUUCAUCUUAUCUCCGGGGUUUGCUGGUUGAAACAACCUCAGGUAUUCAAGUACGUAUACACGUGCUCGCCGGCCGGUGUAUGCGGGUAUUUAAAGAAGUAGGCAUACAGUAUGUUAUCUUGUGGGCGUGUCGUAGAUGUGGACUCAGUCUUCUGAUUGUAACCUGCAUGUGUGUAUAAGUCUAUGCCACGGAGCCUCAAGUGCAAGUAUACAUUAGUUAGUACGUGAGCAAAUUCAAAAUGCAUGCAUGCACGUACCAUUGCAUCGAGCAUGCCUAAUGCGUGUGUGUACGUAUACACCCAAUAUAAAACAUAGAUGUGUAUAACUUGCAAUAAAAAAAUACAUUUAUACUUAUAUCUUCUGAAAAUGGCAAUCACAAAAAUACGUCGAACACCUUUCCAAACCCUUGAUGCACCAAGGAGGACACUUUGAUGCUACUGCUGCUCCUGUACGCGGUAGGUGCACUCGAUGUUCAACCUCGCCGCCGCUCGGGCACUGCUCCUGUGCUACUGACGGAAAGGACACCAAGUUGCUUCAUCGCGUGGAUUCUCGCCGAUCAGAUCCAAUUGUAAAGCUAGCACAGUUUUUUUUUCCAACCUGAAGGUGGCAUCCAGAGAAAAUUAUUUUCAGAACAACUGAUCAUUUCUCUCGUUUUUAGUUUACUAGCUUAAUCGUGUUAAGCCUUCAACAUGAUGUAUUCGAAUACAACACUUUCUAUCAAAGAUUUCAGACAGGUUCAGGUGUGUAGUCAUUUCACUUGCAGAGAUGUGAAUUUCAGGGAAGUUUCAC